rnacentral:rRNA from 1 species
UCUUGGGCCAAGGGAAGAAAAUGUCUGACCCAAAACAACCCCCGCCUUGAAGGAGAGAAGGUUUUUCGGAUUUGAAAAAACUUUUGUUGGUAGAAAAAAAACGUGGUGAAGAGUGGAAAGCUCAUCAAGUGACGGUAACUACCCAGAAAGGGACGGCUAAAUACGUGCCAGCAGCCGCGGUAUACGUAGGUCCCCAAGCGUUGUCCGGAUUUAUUGGGCGUAAAGCGAGCGCAGGUGGUUUAUUAAGUCUGGUGUAAAAGGAGUGGCUCAACCAUUGUAUGCAUUGGAAACUGGUAGACUUGAGUGCAGGAGAGGAGAGUGGAAUUCCAUGUGUAGCGGAAAUGCGUAGAUAUAUGGAGGAACACCGGUGGCGAAAGCGGCUCUCUGGCCUGUAACUGACACUGAGGCUCGAAAGCGGGGGAGCAAACAGGAUUAGAUACCCUGGUAGUCCACGCCGUAAACGAUGAGUGCUAGAUGUAGGGAGCUAUAAGUUCUCGUAUCGCAGCUAACGCAAUAAGCACUCCGCCUGGGGAGUACGACCGCAAGGUUGAAACUCAAAGGAAUUGACGGGGGCCGCACAAGCGGUGGAGCAUGUGGUUUAAUUCGAAGCAACGCGAAGAACCUUACCAGGUCUUGACAUACUCGUGCUAUCUAGAGAUAGGAAGUUCCUUCGGGACACGGGAUACAGGUGGUGCAUGGUUGUCGUCAGCUCGUGUCGUGAGAUGUUGGUUAAGUCCCGCAACGAGCGCAACCCCUAUUGUUAGUUGCCAUCAUUAAGUUGGGCACUCUAACGAGACUGCCGGUGAUAACCGGAGGAAGGUGGGGAUGACGUCAAAUCAUCAUGCCCCUUAUGACCUGGGCUACACACGUGCUACAAUGGAUGGCAACGAGUCGCGAGACAGUGAUGUUUAGCUAAUCUCUUAAAACCAUUCUCAGUUCGGAUUGUAGGCUGCAACUCGCCUAAUGAAGUCGGAAUCGCUAGUAAUCGCGGAUCAGCACGCCGCGGUGAAUACGUUCCCGGGCCUUGUACACACCGCCCGCACACCACGGGAGUUGGGAGUACCCGAAGUAGGUUGCCUAACCGCAAGGAGGGCGCUCCUAAGUAAGACCG